CUCUCGUCGACCUCUACAUGGUCAGCUCGGGUGAAAUGUCCUUUAAGCUCCAAAAUGCUCCAAAAUCAUAGCUUUACUCCGAAAUGCACCUGAACCUGAAAACAUACCUAGAAGAGUAGAAAACAUAGAUAUAUAUAGUAAAACACCUAUAUACCAUGGAUGAAAACGGAUCAAAUCCAAGGUAUAUCAGGGAUCCUCUCACACUUGAUCCCAUGUUCUCGAUGAAGAGAACCAUGCUUUGUAGUGGUCCUCCCCGUGUCUCCAUAGCAAGCUAUCAUCGCCCGUAGGUGAUAGCUGCAACAUCGUCGAAUGCUCCAUUGUCCAGACGUGGCUGCAUCAGCAACAGUUGCAUAGCGAGUGAUAGCGAGGAACUGAGUACCUGAGUCACCUGCAACAUCAAGCAGCCUUCCCAUGUCAAGCCAAUUAUCAAACCAGAAUAAAGUGUGCCUACUGUUACCGAUAUCAUAUCGCAGAUAAGAGGCAGCCUGUUGCAGGAGCUUAAGGAGCUUGCACCAGAUCCACGAGCCAGAACCAGUGUCGUUUACAUCCCAGAAGCAUCGACAAUGAAGCAGAUUAUGUUUUGUCCAGGAAACCCACAACGAGCCUUAGUUCGUGAGUAAUUGCCAUAUUAGGCUUAGAGCAAAAAUACGCGAUGAGUCUUCCAUGCGCCUGAUGCCCAAGCCCCCUUCCUGUUUUGGUUUGCAGACAUCCAACCAAGCAACCUUAGCCUUCGUGUUUGUGUGUGGAGAGCCUAGCCAGAGGAAGGCACUACACAUGCUUUCGAUGAUUUCAAGACAGCGUUUUGGCAAGCGAAAAACAGAACACCAGAAGUUGGUUAUGCUGACAAUGACUGAGUUAAUAAGCUGGAGAUGACCAGCGUAAGAUAGUGCACAGGUAGACCAAGAAAGAAAAUGUGACAUGAUCUUGUCGAUAAGAGGCUUGUAGUCUGCUCGAGACAUUGAUUUUGUAGUAAGAGGAAGACCAAAAUAUCGAACUGGGAGAGCGUCUAUUGGUAUGCCCAUUCGGUUUACCUCUUCUUGGAAACCUGAGUGAUUCUUCCUGCCAUGAAGAUUGACGAUUUUUCAGGGUUUAUUACGAGGCCUGAAAUCGCAGUAAAAUCAUCCAUUGUGGCAAAAAUCCCACGGAGUGAUGCUGGAUCUCCAUUAGGGAAAACCAUAAUGUCAUCAGCGAAGCUUAGGUGGGUGAGAUUUAUCUCGGAACAAGUAGGAUGGAAGCCAAUCUUUCAUGCCAAGGCUGCUUUCUUUAGUAGGCGAGACAUAACAUUUAUAGCGAUAACAAAGAGAUACAGGGAUAGAGCACAUCCUUGUCUUAAACCUCUGGUGCUCGGAAAGAAACCCUCUCCGAAACAGAGAAAGCAGCAGUUGAUAGGCAAAUAUGGAUCCAAUGCACGAACUGGUCAGGAAUGUUCAUUGCUUGCAGGGUGUCUAAGAUAAAAGACCACUUUACUGAGUCGAAAGCUUUGGAGAUAUCAAGUUUCAGAACCUUGUGACGACCAAUAGGGUCCUUAUGGUAGUUCUUGACUAGCUCUGUAGCAAGUAGGACGUUUUCAAGUAGAAGCCGAUCCUUAAUGAAUGCACACUGGUUUGGUUCGAUCAGCUCAGGGAGAAGUACUUUAAGGCGGUUUUCUAGGACCUUUGAGACCACUUUGUAAAGAAUGUUGAAGCAAGAUAUAGGCCGGAAAUCUUUUAGAUUUUUUACACCUUAAACCUUAGGGAUGAGUGCCAGGGUGGUGGCAUUAACCCCCUUAGGAAGGAAACCGUACAUAAAGAAUGAUUGGACAGCAAUGGUAGUCUCGGCUGAUGAUGGGCCAAGCUGCACCAUAAGAACUCUGCAGGAUAUCCGUCAGGCCCUAGAGCUUUAUUGGAUGGCCUCUGAGAUGGGGUGAACCAGUAGAGAAGCAGUAUUAUCAGGACAGCAGAACUCCAAAAGGUCUGGCAGAUCAAUGAGAGUCUCAUUACGUGCAAGACUUUCAGUCGGGCCUAGAAAAUGUGCAAAGUAGCUUGCUGUUGCUUGCUUGAUUGCAGUAGGGUCUGUGAUGAUAUCUCCAUUCUGUAAGACCAUAUUUCUGAUGGCAUUGAAAGAUGUUUGGGUUUGCAUUAUUCUGUGUAAAAAAGUGGUGUUCUGAUCACCAUACUUGAGCUAUGUUAUGCGAGAUUUCUGCAUGUACAAACGCUCUUCAUCAAUGCUUACCAAAUGAUUCCAUGUGUCUAUCGCUUCUGUCACACUGUUAGAAGAGGCAGUAUUAGGCGUUGAGGCGUUGAGAGAGCUUUUUCUUGCAUAUCACUAGAUUUUUGAAUGCCUCCUUUGCUCGAAGAGGUAUAUCAGCAAACCAUGAUUUAUUUGGCAGCCUGGUAGCAGGUUUCAAUUGCUUCAGCGUAUGGUGGAACAGGUACAUAAAUUUCUUAAAGAAGAAGAAGAUGACCUUUUGUCAUGUGACUAUAUAUGCUCGGACUAGCGUUUUUAAAUAUCACACUUCCUGAAAAUUUGUUUUAGUGGUUCAUGUUCAGAAUAUUCAAAACGAUGAAAUAAUGUCAUCAACUAAAACCAGUUAAAACAGAGAAAAAUAAUGCUUAGAAUUAAACUUUUUGUAAAUUUUAUACUACUUUUAGUGUUAACUUGUGAUUUUUAUAUAAUAUAUGUUAUACAUAUAAGUAUUUUUGUUGCCGUAUCCCAGCCGUACCUUUGGUUUUGCCAUUUUCCGUCCGGGUUCUCGUCCCCGUUUCCAGUCCCCGUGCCCAUAUCGGGGCUGCUUAGCAUAACAUUGAGCUUUUUUAGACUUGUUUACAUACCUUAUGCAUGCAGGAUUAGCUUUCCUAAACUAUUUUUAAUUACCGCUGUCGAUUAUCUCAGUUUCUCUUCAUCUAUUACUGGUUAUCCUAAUCAAAACUUGAUGGGUUGUUAUCCUUUAAUUUCGGUUUGGUUCACAAUUUUUUUGUCAACUCAUAUAUUGUAUAGUCUCAAAUUAUAUUUUUCUGAUCCUCAUGGUUUAAUAACAUAUUAUAUGGUUUGUUACACAAAACUACAUAAUAUGUGAUUCCAAUUUGAAGCUUACAUGUUUUAUGUUUUAUGGAUUUGGGUUUAUAUUUGUAGACAGUAUAAAUUUUAUGAUGUUUAGGAUUUAGAGUUUAAUUAGGAUUCCGUGUUCCAUAUAGUUAGGUUUUAAUAUUAAGUGUAUUUUCCACGCGAAACGCAUGAAUCACAAUAUAUUAUGUCAUUUAGAUAUUUAUAAUUAUGGGGUUUGGUUGAUUGAUUAUCACAUAUAAUUUGAAAUUAUGUUUUGAUAUUGUAUCAAAAUAUCACCCGACUAAAUCUUUUCAAAAAGAUAAUAGGAGAAAUAAGGAAUACUAGUCACGAAUACCUCUAUAAUAUAUUUGAAUUUUUCGUUAAAUAUAUUUUUUAAAUUACUAAUUGAUUCUUCUCAAGGAAGUUUCUCCUUCUAAGUAUUUUCUUAUAUAAUGAAUUGAGAUCCCUUCCAAACGGAGUACAUUUUUUCAAUUGCCCUCUAUAUAUGCAUUUGUAUAGUGAUCUUUUCUAUAUAGUUAAUCGAUAUUUUUUCCUAACUACUCUCUGUAUUUUUAUGCUCUUCAUUCUUGUACUAAUUAUUCAUAACUAAUGCAUGAAUCAUGACUAUUCUGAAUACCAAAUAAGUAAGAAGGCAAUAGAGAAUGAUUAUUCAUAUCUGGCCGUCUUAUGUAUUUCCUUUAAUAUUGAUCUAUCAUUUGUUCUAUCCAUUGUUUUAUAUGGAUCAACUAUUUUGCUCGAAUUAAUAUUCUAAUCAUGCACUAAUAAUUCAUAUCUAAUACAGAUGAAUCUUGACUACUUUAAAUACCAGACAAGUGAGAAGUUAAUUGAUAAUGAAGUGAGUACUCUUGCCGUCUAAUAUAUUUUUCUUAAUAAUAUUUAUCUAAUUCCCUCGACUAUUGUUUAUUCUAUCAUUCCUGCUCUAAUGAUUCCUUACUAAUGCAGGUGAACGCUGAAUGGGUAAUGAAGGCAAUGGGUAAUGAAAAGAAUGAAAAAAUUCUAUGAGGAGCAAACAAAUAUGAAGCUAACUGAUCAUGAACCAAUUGCCAAAAGAGUAACAAGGAAAUGAUUCAAGAUGUGAGCAUCUCUACAAAUAUAUUACUGUGAACUAGGAUUUCAUAUGUGACAACUCUGAUUAUUUUCAUGUAUUGUUCUAUUAAUAUUCAUCCAGCUCUCAUUUUAAUUAAUCAUAAAAAGUUACUUGUCAAAGAUGGUGUGUAUUCAAAUUACCUUUACUAAUAAAUCAUUUGUACAAGACCAUCAAUUUGUAAUCUCUACUGAUUUUUAUAUUAUGUGUAUAAAAUGUUUUUCAACUCAAAGUAUGACAAUGCUACAAAAACAAUGUAUACCGUUUAAGGAUUAGUUCAAUAUAAGGUACACUCUGAUAUUUUAGUUUUGAUUGAGUUGGUCACU